UCUUCCUCUGCUCUGGCCCCAUGGUCUCCUUACUGUCUCAAUGGUGAGAUGUCCUUCACUCCUCAGACAUCCCAGACUGUUAAGAGCGAUUUAUAAAAAGCCAAUUGGACUUCAAACUGCACCGUGGUUGUUUCCCAAGGGCCUCUUCAUGCAUGCAGACAGCAAGCAAGCUCGGAGGUCACUCCCUCUUCAAGGAUGCCAGCCCUACCAACCUCGUUAAGCCUCAUUUACCUCCCUAAAGGCCCCAACUCCAACACAGCUACAUUGAGAGUUAGGGCUUCAACAUGUGAAUUUCAGGAAGAUAACUUGGUCCACAGCUGGCUCUUUUCACCAAAUAGCUCCUUGUCUAGCAGUGGACAUGGGCUGACAGUAACUGGCCUAGCAGAAAAGGCAAAGAGCGAGGUGUGAGCAGGGCAGCCAGGGGCAUCAGGAUGACUGGGGAGACUAUCAGUCCAUGACACUUGAAUUCAGCUCCUAGUAAAGGAAAGGCCAGAACUCCUCAGGGAGGCUGUGAGAGGGAGGGCGCUGUAGGGAUCCAGCUUGAUGUGAUAGUAGCCAUUUUGGUGAAAGCCUUCAUCUUCCCCCCCAGAUGACCCUGGCAUAUGUUCCAGACCUAAUAGGAUAAAUAAUGCUGUUCAGAUAAUCAGCCCAGCAUUUGAUGCACGCCACUGACACCCAGUCUGUCUCUUAAUUGAGGCUUGACAUGUUGUGAGCUUUUGAGAAAGGCCAGGUUACAUUUUAUUUGCGUAAAGAUCACUUUUGUCUAGCUUAGCACAUAAGCCUCUUUCUCCUGUCUUAGGGUACAGGGGUCCUCUGGACUUGCUGCUGCCCAAGACAUACUUCUGUCUGUGAGUCCCUAAUAAAUUGCACUUUGAGCA